rnacentral:sRNA from 1 species
UCGAAGGAGGUGGUGCGAUAACCACGGU